CGUAGGGUGCGAGCGUUAAUCGGAAUUACUGGGCGUAAAGCGUGCGCAGGCGGUUUAGUAAGACAGGCGUGAAAUCCCCGGGCUCAACCUGGGAACUGCGCUUGUGACUGCUAAGCUAGAGUACGGCAGAGGGGGGUGGAAUUCCACGUGUAGCAGUGAAAUGCGUAGAGAUGUGGAGGAACACCAAUGGCGAAGGCAGCCCCCUGGGUCGAUACUGACGCUCAUGCACGAAAGCGUGGGUAGCAAACAGGAUUAGAUACCCUGGUAGUCCACGCCCUAAACGAUGUCGACUAGGUGUUGGGAGGGUAAAACCUUUUAGUACCGGAGCUAACGCGUGAAGUUGACCGCCUGGGGAGUACGGCCGCAAGGUUA
rnacentral:rRNA from 1 species